rnacentral:rRNA from 1 species
GAUGAACGCUGGCGGCGGGCCUAAUACAUGCAAGUCGAGCGAAGCGGGGACGGGUUCGUAACACGUGGAUAACCUCCUAUAAGACUGGGAAAACUUCGGGAAAACGGAGCUAAACCGGAUAAUUAUAGUUGGAUCCGCGCUGCAUUAGCUAGUUGGGAAGGUAACGGCUUACCAAGGCAACGAUGCAUAGCCGACGGGAGAGGGUGAGCGGCCACACUGGAACUGGAACACGGCCCAGACUCCUACGGGAGGCAGCAGUAGGGAAUCUUCCGCAAUGGGCGAAAGCCUGACGGAGCAACGCCGCGUGAGUGAUGAAGUUUUUCUGAUCGUAAAACUCUGUUAUUAGAGAAGCGGUACCUAAUCAGAAAGCCACGGCUAACUACGUGCCAGCAGCCGCGGUAAUAC